rnacentral:lncRNA from 1 species
AUGAAAGCAAUUGUGCUGAUUAUAGACACUUAAUAAGCGCGUUUUAAGUUUCAAAAGAUUGCGACCCCCCACCCUUUGCCUCACAAUGGUUUGAUCCACUGCCAGUUCCUUAGUUGGCAAGGUAACAGAGGGGUCGUGUCUACUGUCUGAAAGGCACUCAAUGAACGUAACUGACAUAAGGUUAAUCCAGUCAAUCACGCACACACACUAGCUGAAUAUGCAGAGCUAGCGCGCAAAUAUUAACUAUUAACCUGUUAUGGCUAGGGGGCAGUAUUUUCACGGCUGGAUAAAAAACGUACCCGAUUUAAUCUGAUUAUUAGUCCUGCCCAGAAGCUAGAAUAUGCAUAUAAUUAUUAGCUUUGGAUAGAAAACACCCUAAAGUUUCUAAAACUGUUUGAAUGGUGUCUGUGAGUAUAACAGAACUCAUUUGGCAGGCCAAAACGUGAGAAGAUUCUGUACAGGAAGUACCCUGUCUGACCAUUUCUUGAACUUCUUUGCCAUCUCUAUCCAUUACAAAGGAUCUCUGCUCUAACGUGACACUUCCUACGGCUCACAUGGUCUCUCAGAGCCCGGGAAAAAGCUGAAUGACGUAAUUCAAAGCCCUGGCUGAAACACACGAGCGCUUUUGCUAAGUGGUCUAUCAGAGGACAAAGGGCUUAGGCUCGUGCACUGGCCGCCCCCAUCUUUCUGUUUUUCCCUCUAUUUGCCGAAACACAGAUUCCCGGUCGGAAUAUUAUCGCUUUUUUACGAGAAAAAUGGCAUAAAAAUUGAUUUUAAACAGCGGUUGACAUGCUUCGAAGUACGGUAAUGAAAUAUUUAGAAAUCUUUUGUCACGAAAUGCGCCAUGCGCGCGACCCUUAUUUACCAUUCGGAUAGUGUCUAGAACGCACGAACAAAACGCCGCUAUUUGGAUAUAACGAUGGAUUAUUUUGGACCAAACCAACAUUUGUUAUUGAAGUAGAAGUCCUGGGAGUGCAUUCUGACGAAGAACAGGAAAGGUAAUCAAACUUUUCUAAUAGUAAAUCUGAUAUUGGUGAGUGCUAAACUUGGUGGGUGUCUAAAUAGCUAGCCCUGUGAUGCCGGGCUAUCUACUGAGAAUAUUGCAAAAUGUGCUUUCACCGAAAAGCUAUUUUAAAAUCGGACAUAUCGAGUGCAUAGAGGAGUUCUGUAUCUAUAAUUCUUAAAAUAAUUGUUAUGUUUUUUGUGAACGUUUAUCGUGAGUAAUUUAGUAAAUUCACCGGAGGUUUGCGGGGGGUAUGCUAGUUCUGAACGUCACAUGCUAAUGUAAAAAAGCUGGUUUUUGAUAUAAAUAUGAACUUGAUUGAACAAAACAUGCAUGCAUUGUAUAACAUAAUGUCCUAGGGUUGUCAUCUGAUGAAGAUCAUCAAAGGUUAGUGCUGUAUUUAGCUGUGGUUUUGUUUUUGUGACAUUAUAUGCUAGCAUGAAAAAUGGGUAGUCUGAUUAUUUCUGGCUGGGUACUCUGCUGACAUAAUCUAAUGUUUUGCUUUCGCUGUAAAGCCUUUUUGAAAUCGGACAGUGUGGUUAGAUUAACGAGAGUCUUGUCUUUAAAAUGCUGUAAAAUAGUCAUGUUUGAAAAAUGGAAGUUUUCGGAUUUUAGAGUAAUUUGUAUUAGCGGAACAUCUAGAUGUAAGAGGUUAAGCUAGCUAGUACCUAUUCCAUUUAUGUGGCGUCGUCAAAGAUGGAAUCUUUCCUAUCGUCAAUUUAUUCCAAGAUCAGCAUGCAGAUGAUGUAAGUUAGUGCUUCAAAGUCCCUGUGAUAAGGUUAGCGAUAAACUGAAGUCCAAACUGAACAGAACUACACUCUCUUCUACCAUUGCCUUAAAUAUAUUUAAUGGUCUCGUUGCAAAAGCUAAAUUGUCGCAAGGGAACUUUUAUUUAUUUAAUUUCACCUUUAUUUAACACGGGUAGCAAAGAUUAUAGCAAACACCACUGAAACUGAACUGGUGCUCGCUAGCUUUGCAAAUUCAGCUAUUGUUGGAAGCCAGCCAAUAUGAAACAAACUAUUAAAAUUACAAAAGGUUGCAGCAUAUGUUGUGUAAAUGGUGAACUCAUACUGCUGUCAACUCUUGUCAUUUUAAUCCGUUUCACAUUUGCUAGCUACCUUUUAGAUCGAAGCCCAUAUAGAAUGAUUGAAGAUGAUAGAAGCCCAUCUCCAGCUGUAAAUAACCUACACACUGUGUGUGUGUGUGUGUAGCCAGCCAGCCAGCCAGGUAGAAAAAUGGCAGAAAAAUAAGACGGACAUCAGAGUAUUUUUCAGUACACCAAAACGCAAAGCAGAGCAGGCAACAGAUGGCACACAGACAGCAGAGUUGGGGACAGCUAUGCAGGGACAGACUGGCAGAGACAGGGAGUCUCAGGUAAGUUUGUUGAGUCUUUGUUUGGCAACAUUAUGAAAGGUUCUCAAUUUUUUUCACUUGUAAAAUAGGAACAUAAUUGGAAAAUGCCAUGGAUACCCCCACUCUCAACUUAAACUGGUGACUGAACUAAGAUUUGUUAAAGGCAAUGGUAUUGCUGUUGUGAUUAGUUGUGUAGUUUUGGGUACCGGUAGUUAGGAGUACGGCAAACACCUUAUUUCUUUGGUUCCUCAAUAUACAUUUACCAUAUUACAAUGUAGGCUAUGUGUUACAGCACUACUUUUGGUGUCCCCCUCAGGAAUUGCUCUUUAGAAAAUUUCAUGUAAUUGUCCCCUCCAAAGUUGAUAUCAGAUUUUCGCCCCUGGUGACAGCCCACUCCCGUUUUACACCUUGGGCAAAAUGUUGAAUAUUUAGAAUUGAUCUUGUACAGUCUCUCUGGUGUAAAGUAGACCCUAUGUAAAAUAUUGAAUUGCAUCAACUUGUGCCUUGUGUUAAAUGAAAGACGCUGAGCAUCUAAAAAGAGCUUUCCCCAUUUCUUAUCCUCAAAAAUGAGACCAAGGUCAUCAUGCCACUUCAUGCAAGCUUUCAGUGGUUCAUCAUUCCCCAGCUUGAAGCCAAGAGUACAUGUAGGAAAUGAAACCUUUUACCCCUUUCCUUUCCAGCCACAGUUUAUCAGUUUUAGGUUUACUCAUGGGCUGAAUCCUACCUCCCUGCUGAGUGGCAAGAUAAUGCCUAACCUGUAGGUACUUGAAGAAAAGAGUUUGAGGUAACUGAAAACGAGAUGCCAGUUGUUGAAAGGAUAGUAGUUCACCUUCUCUAUAGAGAUUACCAAUUUUUUUAAUUCCUUUGUUGAACCAAGAAAAUGUAAUACCAUCUCUCAGGGCUUUGGGUAAGAUGGGGUUAUUUUCGAAAGGUGUUUGUUCAUAUAUAGAUCUAAGCCCUUCUGUUUGUUUACAGACUUCAAUCCAUAUAUUUAAAGUGUUUUUAAUGAAAGGGUAGUUUAUGAAACCUAGCAAAGCUUUAGGUGGGCUAAUAUAAGGUAUAGAUGCCAAUGUAGCCGGGGUCAGACACUCUUCCUCUAUCUGCCUCCAAGAGGGUGAACUUGAUGUUGUAUCUUGCCAUACCCACACAGCCUUUAACUGAGAUGCCCAGUAAUACAACUGGAAGUCAGGUAGAGUGAGUCCUCCUUCUGAGUAUGGUUUGCAUAAAGUUGUGUGUUUCACUCUGGGGGGUUUCCCUUUCCACAGAAAUGAAGAAAUCUUCCUAUUAAGUUGUUUGAAAAAAACUUUGGGAAUAGGAAAGGCCAAGGUACAAGAAUUUUGGUAAUAUAUUCAUCUUUACAGAAUUGACCCGCCCGAUAAGAGAAAUUGGUAAAUCCCGUCAUCUAUCCAAUUCUUCCCCAAACUUUUUGAGAAGUGGAGUAUAUAUAGUUCAGUUGAUAUGUCUUAAUAAUUUCUGAAGGAAUUUGCAAUCCAAGAUAUGUCAUUUUCUGUGGUUUCCAAGAAAAUGGUUGGUGUAAG